GACGAACGCUGGCGGCAUGCUUAACACAUGCAAGUCGAACGAAACGGCCCUGCUUUUGUGGGCUGCGCGGGUGACGAACGGGUAAGUAACCCGUGAGUUCCCUGUCCUUGCCUGUGGGAUGACUUCAGGCCACUGGAGCUAAUACCAGAUAGGAUCUCCUGCUUCUUGGUGGGGGUUGGAAAGUUUCGGCGGUUGGGGAUGGAAUGGCGGCUUAUCAGCUUGUUGGGUGGGUAGUGGCUUACCAAGGCUUUGCCGGGUGGCCGGCCUGGUAGGAUGACCGGACAAAUUGGGAUGGAGAUACGGCCCAGACUACUACGGGAGGGAGCAGUGGGGAGUAGUGCACAAGGGGCGGAAGCCUGAUGCAGCAACGCAACGUGCGGGAUGACGUCAUUCGGGUUGUAUAGCGAUUCUGCUUGUGACGAGGCGAGAGUGACGGUAAUGGGUAAAGAAGCUCCGGCUAACUACGUG
rnacentral:rRNA from 1 species